rnacentral:misc_RNA from 1 species
GAUGAAGAACGUAGCGAAAUGCGAUAAGUAAUGUGAAUUGCAGAAUUCAGUGAAUCAUCGAAUCUUUGAACGCACCUUGCACCCUUUGGCAUUCCGAAGGGUAUGCUCGUUUGAGUGUCAUUGUACUCUCACACUUCUGAUCCUUUGGAUUGGGAGCGGUGGACUUGGGUGUUGCUGCUUUACUGUGGCUCACCUCAAAUGCAUUCGUGCAACUCUUGGUUGGACAUAGUACGGCGUGAUAAGUAUCUUCGCCGGCACCUCGCAAGAGGGUGGCUGAUCAGGAGCUCUGUGCUUUCCAACUGUCUUCAGACAACAACUGACAACUUGACCUCAAAUUGAGUAGGACCACCCGCUGAACUUAAGCAUAUCAAUAAGCGGAGGA